GAUGAACGCUAGCGGCAGGCUUAACACAUGCAAGUCGAGGGGUAUAGUUCUUCGGAGCUAGAGACCGGCGCACGGGUGCGUAACGCGUAUGCAAUCUACCUUUUGCAGAGGGAUAGCCCAGAGAAAUUUGGAUUAAUACCUCAUGGUAUGUGAGAAUGGCAUCAUUUUCACAUUAAAGUCACAACGGCAAAAGAUGAGCAUGCGUCCCAUUAGCUAGUUGGUAAGGUAACGGCUUACCAAGGCAACGAUGGGUAGGGGUCCUGAGAGGGAGAUCCCCCACAAGGGUACUGAGACACGGACCAGAAUCCUACGGGAGGCAGCAGUGAGGAAUAUUGGACAAUGGGCGCAAGCCUGAUCCAGCCAUGCCGCGUGCAGGACGACGGUCCUAUGGAUUGUAAACUGCUUUUGUACAGGAAGAAACACUGGUUCGUGAACCAGCUUGACGGUACUGUAAGAAUAAGGAUCGGCUAACUCCGUGCCAGCCGCCGCGGUAACAC
rnacentral:rRNA from 1 species